UCCACUGCCUUCUUCACUCCUUCUUUAUCCACUAACACUCCAAUACUC
rnacentral:sRNA from 1 species